AUUAGUUAUUAGUUUAUAGUUUAGAAUUUUCUCAUUUUUCAAAAUGUACAUCCAAAUUUUUUGUAUAAUUUUAUUAUUCGUUUGUAUCAUGGGCGAUGGCAAGAAUUGUCCGGAAGUUUGUCAGCGUUCUGUAAAGCCAGUUUGUGGAACUAUUCAUAAUUUUGAUGGUGAUAAAGUAUACUGUACCUUUCCAAAUGAUUGUUUCUUGGAAAUUUAUACGUGUAGAACAAAUCAAGAAUUAAUUAAAACAAAAGGACCUUGUCGACAGGAUUCUUCAGGAUGUUGCAACGUUCCUAUGGAAUUAUAAAAAAUUCAUAGUUUUUGUAAAUUUAUUAAGUAUCAGAACAAAUUUAAUAAAUUUUUAUGCAA